rnacentral:tRNA from 2 species
CGGGCUGUAGCGCAGUUUGGUAGCGCGCUUCGUUCGGGACGAAGAGGCCGCGGGUUCAAAUCCCACCAGCCCGAC